rnacentral:lncRNA from 1 species
AGGGGGGUUUGGAGGAACAGGAAAGAGGCAUAAGCCAAGAGACACAAAACUUGGAUGCAAGGAUGCAAGAGAUCCCAACGAUCUUAUUCCUUGAACCCUUUCUGGCCGACCCCAAGGAUCAGAUGACAUGUACACAUGCUCAAUAUUCCCCUUCACCAUCGUGUGCCUCUUGAAACAUAUAACCCCAUUUUCCAGAAAUGGCAAGAGGCUAAUUAUCAGUUUAAAACAUAAGUUGCAUCCUGCACUGCGACACAUUGCGUUGGUAAUAGUAUGCAUCCACAUGCAUUAUGGGUUUCUGAAUCUGCAUGUGAGUCGAUCACUACAAAUCAGUCCCACAAAACUCAGCUCUCACACACACGAACUUAUUGCAGAAACCUGUUAUGCAUAUGGGACCUGCGGUGACAAACAUAUCUAUUGUGUUUACUCUCUAAACACAACGGGAUGUCGGCUAUUUGUAAAGCUUUCAGACCACUCUACUGCAGAAAGUUUCAUAGCUGGCUUCAUGUAACGUGCGUAGCAA